rnacentral:rRNA from 1 species
AGAGGGGUGCAAACGUUGCUCGGGAUUUACUGGGGCGUAAAGCGCGUGUAGGCGGACUCGCAAGUCGGUUGCGAAAUCCCUGGGGCUCAACCUAGGAACUGCAUCCGAAACUGCUUGUCUUGAGUAAUGGAGAGGGUGGCGGAAUUCCCGGUGUAGAGGUGAAAUUCGUAGAUAUCGGGAGGAACAUCAGUGGCGAAGGCGGCCACCUGGACAUUUACUGACGCUGAGACGCGAAAGCGUGGGGAGCAAACAGGAUUAGAUACCCUGGUAGUCCACGCCGUAAACGAUGAGAACUAGGUGCAGCGGAUAUUGACCUCUGCUGUGCCGUAGCUAACGCGUUAAGUUCUCCGCCGGGGAGUACGGCCGCAAAGGCUAA